CAGGGUUCUAAACCUUGCCUCUCUACUUGGCUUUGCUCCUCUGUGUCUUACUGUGAUACUGAGACUACACUCUAAAGUCUGAAUGCAUAUUUAUCUUUGGAAAUAUGCAGAAUGUGAUGGUUACUUGACUUGAAUACUUUUCUUUUUCACUUGAGACAAUAUCAUGCAGCCCAGGUUGACCUCAGACUCAUUACACAAUCAAGGAUGGCCUUGAACUUGUGAUCCUCCUGCUUCCACCUUGUAGUGUUGAGCUUUUACAGGUGUGUGCCAGUACCCCUAGCUUAUCUGGUACUGAGGAUGGAACCCAAGGCUUCAAACAUGCUAGCUAAGCACUCCAUUAACACAAUCUAUAUCCCCAGAAAGAGAAAUUUAAAUAUAGAUAUAGGGGGUGGUGCUGAUGCUAAGGUCCUGUUCCCCAAUUGGUUCUUGAUCAAUCAAUGAAGAUACCAGGGGCUAAUGGCUGGGUGGAAGGAAAGAGGUGGGAUUUCUGGGUCUCCACAGGCAGUUUAAGUACAGGAAGGGGGAAGGGAGAUUGCACCAUGCUUUGGAGGUAGAAAAGGUGACCAGCCAUUGAGAUCUUGGACAGAUUGGCCAUAGGUCACUUCCCCAGGCAGGAGAUUAGAAAUGCAACUAAACAGAGGGCAUUUUUGUGUUGCUAAACAAGGAGAAGGUAACUGAGUAACUAAAGUUGCCAGCAGCUUUAGGUGCUGAUCUAAGAGUAUUGGGAAGGGCAUGUUAGCCACGGGAGAUUAGAAGUGCCCAGCAAUUGAGCCAAUAAGACAGGCUGAGAGGGGUUGGGGAUUUAGCUCAGUGGUAGAGCGCUUGCCUAGCAAGCGCAAGGCCCUGGGUUCGGUCCCCAGCUCCGAAAAAAAAAAAAAAAGAACAACAACAACAAAAAAAGACAGGCUGAAAAACAUGUUAGUGUGUGUUUGUGUGUGUGUGUGUGUGUAUGUGUGUGUGUGUGUGUGUGUGUGUGUGUGUGUCUUUCAUCCAUGGAUCCAAAGGAACCUGGGCAGAUCUGAUAUUUCUGUCUGCCCAGAGUUUAAAGUUGGGUAAUAAGAGCUACACACUACACAUAUAUUUCCAUUUUAAAAUGUGCCUUAACUAUACAAACUGCAGAAGGAGCCAUUUUACCUAAGCUGACAUAAGAGAGUAACCGUUGGAGAAAGCAGUCAAGCUAACUAACAUAAAGCCUGUAACCUAGACCAGUCUUUGUGCUCACUUGUCGCUUCUGCGGGUUGCUUUCUGAGAAAGGCGCCAGGACUUUAGUGUGUGAGUGUCACCUCCUGAAACAAAGAGCAGUGUUGUGAGAGUGCAGAUCGACAUGUUUCCCCAGCAAGCUCAGAGCUCACGGAGCCCAACUCCAUGGCUUUGGCUUCUUUUGUUUAAUCUUGUCAUCGUCUCAAUGUGAUAAAGGGCAAGGAAGCUACUUUUGCUAUGGGACUGAAAGUUGAGAAAGAGGGAAGUAGAAGGCAUCUGUGACAACCCACCCGCCACCCAAAGGAAUAGCCUAGACAGAAAGCCACUGAAGAGAACUUCUAAAAAUUGUGAUAAAGAUGCUGAGGUACAGCUCUCCAGCACUGAAAGCUUCUGGCAGACUCAGCUGCUGUGAAUGGGUUCCAUCCAUCAUGUCCCCAGAGGGCUCUGACACUCAACAUCAUCUGAUCCAGACGUGACGGAUGUCAACUUGGAAAAUAGUUUCAUGACUCCUGAGGGAAGAAAAGGUCAAGAGUGAUGAUCAGGGCAUCAAGAGAUCCUAGGGUCCCAGGGAUGUGGAAGCUUGCGGACUUCAGGAGAAGUGCUUCCUGGAUCAUCUUCUCUGAGCUGUCAACUAGACACCAAACACCACAUGUGUUCCUAUUCUUUUUCUCCUCUGUUGACUUCCCCCUCCCUGCCCCCAGUGGAAUCUUCCUCUUCCUCCUUCACUUCUCUUCUGUCUAGUAUGAGUCUCUAAGCAAUAUCCUUUGUCUCAUCCAAUCAGCAGUGAUUACUGAUGGAAAGAAACCACUAUGUGCUGGCCAAUGCUGUGGUUUGUCCCCUUCCAAACCCAUAUUAAGAUCUGAUAGUCAUUUUGGUGAUGUUGAGAGCCUUUAAGGUAUCAAUGAGUCCUCUUGAAUGAUAAUGAUUUUCUCACAGAUGGAGCUCUUGGUUUCCUAGGGCUAGAGCAGACAGUGAAUGAGUGGACUGAAGUAUUUCUUCCUCCUUACCUACUUCCCUUUCCUCUCUCUAGUCUGAGCUGAAGCAGCCUAAAAACAUCAAAGAAACUGGCCAGACUCAGCCACCCAACUGUGGGCUUCUCAACCCCGAGAACCCUGAGCUCUUUUCUUAACAUCCAUUCCCUGCAGAAAGGGUUCUGAGAUAUUCACUGAAAAAGAGGAAGGACCCCCUCCCCCAUUCACUGUGUGUGUGUGUGUGUGUGUGUGUGUGUGUGUGUGUGUGUGUGUGUUAUGCUAUAAGUGUAUAUGUAGCAUGUUUCCAUGUGUGUGAAUGUUUCUACGUGUGGGUGCACACACACGUGCAUGGUGUGUAGAGGCCUAAGGUUAAUCUGGAGAACCAUCCUUUGCACUCUUCUGCCUUAUUCACUGAAGCUGAUCUCUUAGUCAGAUCUAACCAGUAUGGCUCUUUGGAGAGUGAGUAUGGGAUUGUAUAUGAAUGUUGCAGACUGCACACUCUCAAAUUUCUCCAUCUUUUGACUCCACAUUCCAGGAUGAAUCACAGACCUACCUGGAUGACUCCAUGUGAGUUUUUACAUGAACAUCCCAUCCCAAACUGUAUCCCCUGUCCCUUGCUUCUGCUUCCCUUCCACUUUCCCCUCUGUUUACUUUGUUGCAUACACCCACACCUGGAUUUCUAUCCUGGAGACUUUUCUUUGAUUCACAUCCACGACCAAACCGCCAGGAAGAAACACCCCAAAUCUGGAUGCUUCAUGACCCUUUUAUUGCUUUUACCCUAGUUCCUGCCCUGUCACCUCUCAUUUUCUAGCCAUAGCUAACUCCUACCUGCUCACAACCUCACUCCACUAGGGCUCCACAGCGGCCAGAGAGAGCUUUCUCAGGUAUUCUGUGAGAAUGCUCACCCUGCCAACCUCAACCACUGAAACAUCUACCAUAUAUACUUGUUUUGAUUUUCUAUAUUUAUAUCUUUGCAUGUGUGUAGUGCGUGCACAUGUUUACGGGAAUGCAACUGCUCAUGUGAUAAUCCCAGGAUUACCUCGGGGAUCAGUCCUGAUUUUUCAACCUGCUCAAGACAGUUAUCUGCUGCUUGUUUCCCACUGCAUACACAGACUAACUCUGGGGAAAUCUCCAGUUCCUAUUUCCCAUCUCACUGUAGAACCCUAGGAUUAGACAUGCUCCCCAUGCCUUAUGUGGUCUCUGAGAAUUUGAACAAGUGAGAAUUGCACAAGCUCUUUGUGCUUGUGUAACAAAUGCUUUACCUACCAAACCAUCUCCCAACGCCAAUUUUUUGUUUUCAUUUUGGUUAAUUUGUUUGUUUUUUAUUGCUGAGACAGAGGCUUGCUCAUCCUCCCUGGCCUGGAGCUUUCUUUGAAGGCCAAGCUGGCCUAGAACUUAUGGUGAUAAUGCUGUAUCUGCCUCCCUAGUGUUAGUUUGCUACACCAUCACACCAGGGUUUUCCCAUGAUGUUUUCUCAUUUAUAUACUUGUUGUAACUCCUUCUAUUAAAAUAUAGGUUCCAGAUGAUGAUGACACUCUCUGUCUACUGACCAACCCACCCCUCAAUUAAAUGGCAGGGGGAAAAAGAAAGUGAAAAAGAUUUUUUAAAAAAAUGCCAUCAAGAGGGUGAAAGGAAAAAUCCAUAGACAAGGAAGAAAGACAAAGAAAGAAACCAUUUGCAAAACAUACUCUCUGAGAAGGGACUAUUAUCCAACAUACAAAAACCCUCAUACCACAGGAAUAGAGCAGAUUCCAACUCCACAAGCACGAGGGAAGCCUAGAGAGAGUAAGAGAUCCACUUGAGACAAGGGAAGCCAUUAAUAAUCCAACACUCUGUGGCCCUAGAGCCUUAAGUCCAGUGUUAGGGGUUGGUCUGGGAGCAGCUCCUCCAUGUCAGAGAGCUAGGUGUGGGUGAGAAAUCCACUGUACAUAUCACUACUUACAGGAGUUCCAUAGCCAGGUGCCAUCAUAGCCUAUGCCAGGCAUGUGGACCCAUCACAUGAGAGGAUAAGGUAAGUGGGUUGCUGUUGUAUGUAGUUUUAUCUACCUGUCUUUACUCUGGGAUGGGGUCGCACUACCAGCCCCUCCCAGAUUCCCUGAAAUCCACAGAUACACACACACACACACACACACACACACACACACACACACACAGUUGUUCAUUUUCAUCUUGCCUUCUUGGCACAAUUGCUGGGCACCACUAUCUCCCACCUGUAAAGGUGUGCCCUUAUCAAUACUCUUAGCUCUGUACCUCCCACCUGCCCUAAACUUCAGUGGCUAGUCCCAACUAGCCCUGUCAAACAUCCCUGACCGCCUGCCUAUAGUGGACACAGGGCCCAGCUCCUCCUGAGACCUUACAUAGCUGCUUGAUUCUUCCCCUUCCAAAGCAUGAUGAAAAACCCCUCCUCCUCUCCUUCCUUGUGUCUUUCUUUUCCUCCAGAGACCCGGAAGUCCUGCCUGUGUCUUCUUCAGCACAUACAAUUAGCCCAUGGCUUUCUUUACUGACAGAUCAAGAACCAAUUGGGGAACAGGACCUUAGCAUCAAAAACCACCCCUACAGGUUGCUAUAAGUUUGAAGCCAGCCUAGUCAGAACAGUUGCUGACUGGAGACAAUGAGUGGAGCAGGGAUCUUCUGAGGUGGUAAUAAGGUUCUACAUCAUUUACAUCUUUUUAUUUUUUAUUUUUUGAGUAUGUGCAGCCCUGGCCAGCCUGAAACUCACUGUGUAGACUAGCCUGGCCUCAAACUCAUAGAGAUCCAGGUGCCUCUGCCUCCUGAGUAUUGAGGUUCAAGGCAUGAUAAGUUCAGUAUCCUUUUGUAAAACAAGAUGUAUUUAUUUUUAUUUUGUGUGUAUGGGUGUUUUGCCUUUAUGUCUGUCUGUGCACCAUGUCUGAGCUAUUCCUAUGGAGACUACAGAAGGCACCAAAUUCUCCGGAACCAGGGUUGCAGGGUUGUGAUCCACUGUGUGGGUGCUGAGAAAUGAACUUGAGUCUUCUGCAAGAGGCCAGCAAGUUGUCUCUCCAGCAUAAGUUCUAUAUCUUGAUGGAGUUUGGGUCACACAUAAGCAGCAAUGUAUAUUUAGUAUUUUUGCAUUUUAUGGGUAUAUUAAAUGUAUCAGAAGAAAUCCCACAAAUAAGUAUAGAAUUUAUUUAACUAGUUAAAUAACUAUUUAUAUUACUGUUUUAACUUUAUUGAUUCUUUGUGAAUUCCUUAUCAUGCACCCUAGUCACACUCAUCUCCCCAUCCCCUCAUGUUCACCCUUCACCCUUGCAACCUCCCUCACAAAAUAGAACACAAACAACAAAAACAAAGCAUAGAAAACAUCUCAUCAUGAAAGCUGUAGUAUGCCAUACUGUGUCCCACAGUGUAUCCCUCUGUCCACACAUCUUCACUUGUAAAUGUUCAUGGCAAUGACUCAUUCGUCUGGUUUGAGGUCUCUGGCUGCUGUAACACCAUCAAUAUUGAGUUCUCAUUAGUACUCCUCUUGGUUAUUCUGUUGUUGGUCUGUGUCGUGGAGAUCCUGCAGCUUUGGAACAGCAGUGCUGGCCCCUUCACAAACCCCAAUCAUUUGCAAAUGAUGUAGAUUUGAGGUUGGGCCAUCUUAGAGCCCUGGAUCUGGGUCUGUUUGGAAGCUGAGCUGGUCAUCCUGCCAGCUCUCCCUUAUCCUGUACCACCAGGGUUAGCUCUCCAGCACUGCUCUGUAGACCACUCAGUGCUCCCACCAUAGUCAGGAGGCCAGGGCAGAUCUCCUACUCUCAUGCCCUUGGGGUCUGCUCACCUUGCAUCCAUGUCUCCAAAGCCAGCUCCACUGUGCUGCCAUUCAUGGUGUGGGACCCAAUCUCCCAAGUACCACAUCCUGUGAGGGGCUGGGCCAGCUCUCCUGCUCCCACACCCUUGGGUCUGGCUUACCCAUGCCUUUGCUACCAGAACCAGUACUACUGAGCUGCCAAGGUGAGAUGCAGGGCCCACUCUCCCAAGUGCUGCAGCCACUCCUGAGUGAGAGGCAGGAUCAGCCCACCCACUCUCAUGACCACCAGGUCAGCUCUCCCAAGUCACCUCUCAUGGCAGGGAGGUGGUGAAACCAGCUUUUCCAUGCUCCCAUUUUCUCUCUCCCUCUGGUUCAUGUGUACUCCUGCUGCUGAGGUCAGCUCUGCAGUGCUGUCCAGGAGUGGUGCAGGAUCAACUGCCCUGAGUGCUGAAUGGUGAGGGCAGGGCUAGUUCUCUGGAGCCCAUGGCCCAAUAAUGGGCAGCUUUCCCAGCCACCAGGGGUGCCAAGGAGUUGCAGGGGGAAUGGGGUAAACAUCACCUCUGCACUGGUGCCACACACACAUACCCCCAGGAGGUGAGUGAUGAGGUCAGCUCUCCCACACUCAGGGCCAGCUCCACUGUGCUGCCUGGGCGAGGUGUAGGGCCCUCUCUCCCAAGGCCUGCCACUGGUGAGAUGGGCCCAGCUCUCCCAAGGGCCACAUUUUGUGAGAGGCGGGGCUAAUAGUCCCUGAACAUCCAUGUGGUUCCCUGCAGCUGUGCGGACCAGAAAGAUCCCCAUGUUCUCUAGUGAUAAUGAGUGUGGAGAGUUUGGGGGCCACUUGGCAGGAAUUUGACCUUGGACCAGGACAGGGAAGUUAGCUCAGAGAGGAAUCUGAUUUUUAGGCUAGAACAAAGAAGUAGGCUUCAGGCAAGAGUAUGACUUUGGGAUAGGACAGGGAAGUAGGCUCAAGUAUCUUGGUCAUCCCGAUAAGGCCCUAGAAACAGUGAUCAUGGGACUCUGUUUAUUGCCUUGCUUCUUCCUUGACUAUUUGUGUUGCUUGUUCCUCAACCUAGAACUAACCUUAUUACUUGCAUGUUAUCAAAAUGGUAUAAAAACAGAUUGGGAAAAAAUAAACCCACCUUAGCCUCAGAACUGCCUGGGGUCAUGCUACAACAUUGUCUAAUUGUCUUUUUUCUUUUUAAUCCUCACUCCUGAUCUGGAGAACUCGUUGAUUGACUGGGCUGGCUUGGUCUAAUGAGUCACGGACAUCUAUCCUGACCCCGACUGCUGUGUACUCACAGACUCAGACAUGGCCCUCAGUGGCAGCCCCGUCUGGGGCCUUACCAUAGGCUGGACACUCACAACAGGCUGCUCCUCUCUACCCUUGAGUCUCCAGGUCCAUCUCACUUCAUAAUGCUCAAGCUGCCCACUGUUUUUCUUUCCCAGCUGCCUACCACAUACUUGCACAUUGUGGUGACUCUGGCUAAAGACUGACCCCAUGGCUGGUAGGCCCCUGGGAAACAUCCUCCAUCCAUGCCACAUGAUGUGGUGACAAGCAGACAUAAGACAGCUUUGGCCACCAAGCCAGGCAUCAAGCUAGGAUGAACAAAGACUGUCAUCUACUCUGCCCCUGACCGAUACAAGGCAAUGCCACCAACAAGGUGUCUCUUCAUCCAUUGAUGGAAGCCUAGACUUUGCAGUGCAGGAAUGAGCUCCCAUCUCUGCUUCUGCAGAUUUCUGCUCCAUGGCUGCAUUUGGCAAGAACUGCAGAGUCCUUUCCGUACACACCAUUCUUCUCACUGAGGAACUACAUGAGAGGAGCUGGAUGUGGCUCAUAAAGUUGUAAAGACAAGAGAAAGACCUACUUACCUUAAAGACAGGCAUGGAGGAGACCAGAUCUAUUUUGGGUAUCUGUGAGAGGACCACACCAAUGCCCAGUGAAGUGACCAAAACAAAUCCUCGGGGACCCAUAGAGUAUGGUGUCAUUUGCUCAUAAUGUGCUCACAUCCCCUACACUCAUUCAGCCAUCUCUAGUUUAAAUGCUUAACAGUUUAAAUGCUAUGAAAAUAGUUGUUAAUGUAACUGUUUAGGGGACAAUGACAAGAAAAGCUGCACAUGUUCAUUGUGUGCAUAAAUUUUGAAAAAUUUUUAAAAAAGGUUUCUUGUCUCGAAAUGUAUAUAAGAAAUACUCAAGUUAAUAAAAAAAUUUCUAAUAAAAGUUUAAAUAAAGAUUAAAUUCACAUACAAAAGGUUUCUUGUUUAUAUAUUAUAAGAAGUGUUUCAUAAUGAUAUUUCAUAUAUGUGUAUUUUGAUCACAUUCACACACACACCCCAGUACUCUCUUUUGUCCCUGCCACUCUUAUUGGUUUACUUCUUUCCUGUAAGUUCCCCUUCUACUAUGUCUGUCUGUCUGUCUGUCUGUCUGUCUGUCUGUCUGUCUGUCUGUCUGUCUGUCUAAACAGAAAUUGGUACCAAAGAGUGGUCUGUUGCUGCUAUGGACACAGAUGUGUUGUUUGGGGAGAGAGUGGUUGGGGAAGCAUUUGGAGCUUUGAGCUAUCAGGGCUUAAACCUUGAAGAAGUACUAGUGUAGGGGCUUGGAUGGUGGUAUUGAGAGCAAUGCUGACAACCUGGGUUUGGCUCAUGAAGCUCAGUGUAAGGCUCCUGCUCAGCUUAGGUUUAAAAGAAUGUGCUCUGAGUAAUAAGACACCAGCAUGGCCCAAGGGAAAGCUGUGCUUUUCCAGGGCAAUUGAUGGUGCUCAACUGGAGCCG